AUGAUUCCAGAUCCGCGAUGGAGGUGCUCCGUGCUCGAGGUGGCGCGCUGCGGCGGCGGGCGGGGCGGGAUCAAGGUCAGCGAGGCAGGACGUACACCAGCGGCGCGGAGGUGCGUUGAUCGAUGCGGCUCGUCAGCCCCGGCAUGGAGGAGGCUGCAGUUUGUAGAUUUCACCAAGAUCAUGUCGGCGGAGAUGUCCCGCGCCGAGAAGGAGGAGCGGUUCGCGCUCGAGGCGCUGGAGAAGAUCCCGAGCCAGUACGCUGCGAUCGUCAGCCAGCAUGAGCCAGCAAUGUUCAGAGAAAUGCUGUAG
rnacentral:rRNA from 1 species